GCCUUCAACACUCCAACAGCAGCUGUAGUCUGUCGUUCAAAACCUUGUCCUAUAUGAUCUGCAUGGGCUCUUGUCCUGUCUUCAAAGAGCAUCUCACGGGGCUCACUGGUUCGAGAUUUUACUUUAUAUCCUCCACUAUAGUAAUUCAUAGCCAUGAGGACAUCUCAUCUAUAUGCUGAGUCCUAUGAGUCGUCUUAGCAAAUCACCAAACCUGCAGGUAGUCUCCAGGACCUCUGAUGGACACAGGUCUCUUGGAGUCCUAGGCUGCCAUGUAAGAAAUCCAACUAUCCUGAUGAGAUUAUGUGGAAAGGCCCCAAGAUGACACAGACAGAGAGGGGCUCAGCUUAGCAUCUAAUUAUCAGAGGGAUGAGAAAACACCCAAGUGAGUAAAGCCAUCUUGGGACCUACUAAAAAAGACCAGCCACCAACUGAGCACCGCUGAGCAACCCAAGUCAACCCUGCAUGAAGCAAAAUCGCCUAGUUAAUCCUGCUGGAAUUUCUGACACAUAAAAUCAUCAAAUAUAAUAAAAUGGUUGUAUUUUAGGCCACCAAGUUUUAAGUUUGUUACACAGCAAUAGAUAACAUAUCCUUCACAAAGUCUUAGAGUCAAUGAAGACAUUGUUUGGGGUAAGUUAUAUAUGUACAAAAACUUGCACUGACUUCAGAACAGAAUUUGUCUUAUAAAACACACUGAUAUUUUAAAAUCAGAAGCGAAGGGCUAGGAUAAAGAUGCUUAGCAAUAUAUAAUGUCAGAACUAUAAUCAAACAUCUCAAAAUUAUUUUCUUCCUUUAGCUUUUAUGGCAUUGCAUCACUGUUUUCCUAUCAAGUUUCAUGAAUGUUACACUUCAAAUAAUGCUCUCUACCUAGAAUUCCUUCUUUUUUUUUUUUGUUUUUUUUAAAGAUUAUA